rnacentral:rRNA from 1 species
CAGUCGCCACGGUAAUACGAAGGGGGCUAGCGUUGCUCGGAAUGACUGGGCGUAAAGGGCGCGUAGGCGGUUCGUACAGUUGGAUGUGAAAUUCCUGGGCUUAACCUGGGGACUGCAUUCAAUACGUGCGGGCUUGAGUGUGGAAGAGGGUUGUGGAAUUCCCAGUGUAGAGGUGAAAUUCGUAGAUAUUGGGAAGAACACCGGUGGCGAAGGCGGCAACCUGGUCCAUAACUGACGCUGAGGCGCGAAAGCGUGGGGAGCAAACAGGAUUAGAUACCCCAGUAGUCCCUGUCUCUUAUAC